AUAAAUAAGCGGUGGAAAAGAAACCAACAGGGAUUCCCUUAGUAGCGGCGAGCGAACAGGGAAGAGCCCAGCGCCGAAUUCCGCGUCUUAAAGGGCGUUUGGAACAUGUGGCGUUUAGGAGGAAUCUCUCCGAGGGCAGACGGUGUCGCAAGUCCCCCUGAACGGGGCUGUGAUCCAGAGCGGGUGCGAGGCCCAUAGCUGGUACCGUCUCCUUCGGGUGUCGCCUCCUUGGAGUCGGGUUGCUUGGGAGUGCAGCCCUAAUUGGGUGGUAAACUCCACCUAAGGCUAAAUACGUCCGUGAGACCGAUAGCAAACAAGUACCGUGAGGGAAAGUUGCAAAGAACUUUGAAGAGAGAGUUCAAGAGUACGUGAAACCGCUCAGAGGCAAACGGGUGGGCCCACGAAAGCCGAAGGCGGGGGGAUUCAGUCGAGAGGACGGUGGGGCAGGAUUGGCUGGUCGGACGGACCGUGCCAGGCCGGGUCAGUUCCCGAGAUCCGCCGCCUUUCGACGCAUUUCCCUCUGCUUAGUAGGACGCCGCAACCGGUUGGCGCUGCAGCCAUAAGGGAGAGUAAUCGGAAGGUAGCCAGUGAGUUCUUCUUCGGAGGCGCGAGCUGGUCCUAAGCCCACUCUCCUGGUGCUUGUGGCCCGACCGUGGUCGUGAGUCCCUCAACGGGAUGUUGCCGAGCCCUCUGACCGGAGCGGGAGAAGUGGCAGGCUGUCCUCUGCGAAAAAAAUCGGUCGCUUCACACGUGCAGUGGGCGAUCUCCAGAGGCAGCUGCUGGUGCGUUUUUCUCCUGCGCUGGGCACAGGCAGUUGGCGGCGAGUAGGUCGGUCACCCACCCGACCCGUGAGAAGUCCGGCUUGCCUGACCGAAGCCCGGACGAAAGGAUGAGAGCGCCCAGUGGGCCACUUUUGGUAAGCAGAACUGGCGCUGUGGGAUGAACCAAACGCCGGGUUACGGCGCCCGAUGCGAGACGCUCAUGAGACCCCAUGAAAGGUGUUGGUUGCUAUUGACAGCAGGACGGUGGCCAUGGAAGUCGGAAUCCGCUAAGGAGUGUGUAACAACUCACCUGCCGAAGCAACUAGCCCUGAAAAUGGAUGGCGCUCCAGCGUCGAGCCCAUACCCGGCCGCCGCGGCAGAUGCUCACGAAGCUUAUGCCGCGGUGAGUAGGAGGGUCGCAGUGGCGUGCGUUGAAGGUGCCGGGCGCAAGCCCGCCUGGAGCCGCCACUGGUGCAGAUCUUGGUGGUAGUAGCAAAUACUCAAGUGAGAACCUUGAGGACUGAGGUGGAGAAGGGUUCCAUGUGAACAGCAGUUGAACAUGGGUCAGUCGGUCCUAAGGAAUAGGAGAAAUCCGUUCCGAAGCGGGACGUUUAUUUGACGGCUAGUCCCGCCCACUGACCGAAAGGGAAUCGGGUUAAUAUUCCCGAACCCGGACAAGGAGAUCGGCCCCUCGGGGUCAAGUGCGGUAACGCAACUGAACUCGGAGAAGUCGACGGGAGUCCCGGAGAGAGUUUUCUUUUCUUUGUAAGGGUUUGGCUCCCUGGAAUCGGUUCGUCCGGAGAUAGGGAUGCUAUUCCCGUAAAGCAUCGCGCCUCCUGCGGUGUCCGGAGCGCUCCUGUCGGCCCUUGAAAAUCCGAGGGAGAGAGUGUGAUUUUCUUGCCGGACCGUACCCAUAUCCGCAGCAGGUCUCCA
rnacentral:rRNA from 1 species